AGGACGAACGCUGGCGGCGUGCUUAACACAUGCAAGUCGAGCGGAAAGGCCCUUCGGGGUACUCGAGCGGCGAACGGGUGAGUAACACGUGAGUAACCUGCCCCUAGCUCUGGGAUAGCUCCGGGAAACCGGGAUUAAUACCAGAUACGACCACUUUAGACAUCUGUCGUGGUGGAAAGGAUUCCGGCUAGGGAUGGGCUCGCGGCCUAUCAGCUUGUUGGUGGGGUAACGGCCUACCAAGGCGACGACGGGUAGCCGGCCUGAGAGGGCGACCGGCCACGACUGGGACUGAGACACGGCCCAGACUCCUACGGGAGGCAGCAGUGGGGAUAUUGCGCAAUGGGCGAAAGCCUGACGCAGCGACGCCGCGUGGGGGAUGAAGGCCUUCGGGUUGUAAACCCCUUUCAGCAGGGACGAAUUUGACGGUACCUGCAGAAGAAGCCCGGCCAACUACGUGCCAGCAGCCGC
rnacentral:rRNA from 1 species